GACGAACGCUGGCGGCGUGCCUAAUACAUGCAAGUUGAGCGCUGAAGGUUGGUACUUGUACCAACUGGAUGAGCAGCGCACGGGUGAGUAACGCGUGGGAAAUCUGCCUUUGAGCGGGGGACCACAUUUGGAAACGAAUUCUAAUACCGCAUAAAAACCUGAAACACAAUUUGUAAGUUUGAAAGAUGCAAUUGCAUCACUCAAAGAUGAUCCCGCGUUGUAUUAGCUAGUUGGUGAGGUAAAGGCUCACCAAGGCGAGGAUACAUAGCCGACCUGAGAGGGUGAUCGGCCACAUUGGGACUGAGACACGGCCCAAAGUCCUACGGGAAGCAGCAGUAGGGAAUCUUCGGCAAGGGACGAAAGACUGACCGAGCAAGGCCGCGUGAGUGAAGAGGGUUUUCGGGUCGUAAAUCACGGUUGGUAGGGAAGAACGUUGGUGAGAGUGGAAAGCUCAUCAAGUGACGGUAACUACCCAGAAAGGGACGGCUAACUACGUG
rnacentral:rRNA from 1 species